rnacentral:lncRNA from 1 species
UUUCUUUACUUCUUGCCACUGCAAUUUCUCAUUGUCUUAAUUUGUGAUUAUAGUUGUUUAGUUGUUUAGCAUGGUUAAUCCUGAAUUUUAUUUUCUUACAUUCAUCUUGUGAUUUUAAUUUUUACCGUUGCAUUGUUCAGUUUAAUGUUUUCAGUCACUUUAAUAUUUUCAAUUAUGUUUGGUUGUAUUUAAUUUCCAGUUUUACUUUAAUUCAUUCGCAUUCACAAACUUUUCAACAACCCCCCACUUUGUGUCUGACCUAAUUCUCGAACCACAUUUGGUCCUUGAGAGACGACCUAGGAGUCAUUCCUAGCUAUACUGCAUUUCUCAUAUGCAAUCAAAUUUGUAUGGGCCGCGACAGCCUAUCACACCGACACAGUGAGAGUACAUAUUUCAAUUAUAUCAAUACUUAGAAUAAUGCUCGAAUAUUAUCAUCACGCAUUCUAAUUACUCUAACAUAUAUUCCUGUCAAAACCAUAGUAUUUCGUCGUAACCAAAGUCACAUAUAUAUAAAUAAACAGUACUCGCAUCAUAUAAACCUGAUACCCGAAAUCGGUACAUAAUUCAUGCACAUAUACACACGCCAAACCUCAGAAAGUUUCUCAAAUUGUCAAACAUUUUAUUCUCUCUGAUCGGCAUGAAAUUUUAAGACACCUACCCC